rnacentral:rRNA from 1 species
UACGGGGGGGGCAAGCGUUGUUCGGAAUUACUGGGCGUAAAGGGCUUGUAGGUGGCCAACUAAGUCAGACGUGAAAUCCCUCGGCUUAACCGGGGAACUGCGUCUGAUACUGGAUGGCUUGAGUGUGGGAGAGGGAUGCGGAAUUCCAGGUGUAGCGGUGAAAUGCGUAGAUAUCGAGAGGAACACCAGUGGCGAAGGCGAGUCCCUGGACAACUCCUGACACUGAGGAGCGAAAGCGUGGGGAGCGAACAGG